rnacentral:rRNA from 1 species
AUUGAACGCUGGCGGCAGGCCUAACACAUGCAAGUCGACCGAGUGGCGCACGGGUGAGUAAUGUCUGGGACACUGCCUGAUGGAGGGGGAUAACUACUAGAAACUGUAGAUAAUACCGCAUAAUAUCGGAUGUCCACAGAUGGGAUUAGCUAGUAGGUGGGGUAAAGGCUCACCUAGGCGACGAGCCCUAGCUGGUCUGAGAGGAUGACCAGCCACACUGGGACGGAGACACGGUCCAGACUCCUACGGGAGGCAGCAGUGGGGAAUAUUGCACAAUGGGCGCAAGCCUGAUGCAGCCAUGCCGCGUGUAUGAAGAAGGCCUUCGGGUUGUAAAGUACUUUCAGCGGGGAGGCGUUACCCGCAGAAGAAGCACCGGCUAACUCCGUGCCAGCAGCCGCGGUAAUAC